rnacentral:rRNA from 1 species
UACGGGGGGGGCAAGCGUUGUUCGGAAUUACUGGGCGUAAAGGGCUCGUAGGUGGCCAACUAAGUCAGACGUGAAAUCCCUCAGCUUAACUGGGGAACUGCGUCCGAUACUGGUUGGCUUGAAUCCGGGAGAGGGACGUGGAAUUCCAGGUGUAGCGGUGAAAUGCGUAGAUAUCUGGAGGAACACCGGUGGCGAAGGCGGGUC